rnacentral:rRNA from 1 species
UGCGAACGGGUGAGUAACACGUAGGCAACCUGCCCAAAAGAGGGGGAUAACACUUGGAAACAGGUGCUAAUACCGCAUAACCAUGAACACCGCAUGAUGUUCAUGUAAAAGACGGCUUUUGCUGUCACUUUUGGAUGGGCCUGCGGCGUAUUAACUUGUUGGUGGGGUAACGGCCUACCAAGGUGAUGAUACGUAGCCGAACUGAGAGGUUGAUCGGCCACAUUGGGACUGAGACACGGCCCAAACUCCUACGGGAGGCAGCAGUAGGGAAUCUUCCACAAUGGACGAAAGUCUGAUGGAGCAACGCCGCGUGAAUGAAGAAGGCUUUCGGGUCGUAAAAUUCUGUUGUCAGAGAAGAACGUGCGUGAGAGUAACUGUUCACGUAUUGACGGUAUCUGACCAGAAAGCCACGGCUAACUACGUGCCAGCAGCCGCGGUAAUACGUAGGUGGCGAGCGUUGUCCGGAUUUAUUGGGCGUAAAGGGAACGCAGGCGGUCUUUUAAGUCUGAUGUGAAAGCCUUCGGCUUAACCGAAGUAGUGCAUUGGAAACUGGAAGACUUGAGUGCAGAAGAGGAGAGUGGAACUCCAUGUGUAGCGGUGAAAUGCGUAGAUAUAUGGAAGAACACCAGUGGCGAAAGCGGCUCUCUGGUCUGUAACUGACGCUGAGGUUCGAAAGCGUGGGUAGCAAACAGGAUUAGAUACCCUGGUAGUCCACGCCGUAAACGAUGAGUGCUAAGUGUUGGAGGGUUUCCGCCCUUCAGUGCUGCAGCUAACGCAUUAAGCACUCCGCCUGGGGAGUACGGUCGCAAGACUGAAACUCAAAGGAAUUGACGGGGGCCCGCACAAGCGGUGGAGCAUGUGGUUUAAUUCGAAGCAACGCGAAGAACCUUACCAGGUCUUGACAUCUUCUGACAAUUCCAGAGAUGGAACGUUCCCUUCGGGGACAGAAUGACAGGUGGUGCAUGGUUGUCGUCAGCUCGUGUCGUGAGAUGUUGGGUUAAGUCCCGCAACGAGCGCAACCCUUAUUGUCAGUUGCCAUCAUUAAGUUGGGCACUCUGGCGAGACUGCCGGUGACAAACCGGAGGAAGGUGGGGAUGACGUCAAAUCAUCAUGCCCCUUAUGACCUGGGCUACACACGUGCUACAAUGGACGGUACAACGAGUCGCUAACUCGCGAGGGCAAGCUAAUCUCUUAAAGCCGUUCUCAGUUCGGAUUGCAGGCUGCAACUCGCCUGCAUGAAGUCGGAAUCGCUAGUAAUCGCGAAUCAGCAUGUCGCGGUGAAUACGUUCCCGGGCCUUGUACACACCGCCCGUCACACCAUGAGAGUUUGUAACACCCAAAGUCGGUGGGGUAACCUUUUGGAGCCAGCCGCCUAAGGUGGGACAGAUGAUUGGGGUGAAGUCGUGACAAGGUA